AAAAGAGUAAGUUAACCAAAACUACAAGACUUCAAAUCUUAAAAUAUUGACGCCAAAAAACCAAUCUCCUUUG
rnacentral:tRNA from 1 species